ACACACGGAUAACAUACCGAAAGGUAUGCUAAUACGGGAUAAUAUAUUUGAGAGGCAUCUCUUAAAUAUCAAAGGUGAGCCAGUACAGGAUGGACCCGCGUCUGAUUAGCUAGUUGGUAAGGUAACGGCUUACCAAGGCAACGAUCAGUAGCCGACCUGAGAGGGUGAUCGGCCACAUUGGAACUGAGACACGGUCCAAACUCCUACGGGAGGCAGCAGUGGGGAAUAUUGCACAAUGGGCGAAAGCCUGAUGCAGCAACGCCGCGUGAGUGAUGAAGGCCUUCGGGUCGUAAAACUCUGUCCUCAAGGAAGAUAAUGACGGUACUUGAGGAGGAAGCCCCGGCUAACUACGUGCCAGCAGCCGCGGUAAUACGUAGGGGGCUAGCGUUAUCCGGAUUUACUGGGCGUAAAGGGUGCGUAGGCGGUCUUUCAAGUCAGGAGUGAAAGGCUACGGCUCAACCGUAGUAAGCUCUUGAAACUGGGAGACUUGUGUGCAGGAGAGGAGAGUGGAAUUCCUAGUGUAGCGGUGAAAUGCGUAGAUAUUAGGAGGAACACCAGUUGCGAAGGCGGCUCUCUGGACUGUAACUGACGCUGAGGCACGAAAGCGUAGGGAGCAAACAGGAUUAGAUACCCUGGUAGUCCACGCUGUAAACGAUGAGUACUAGGUGUCGGGGGUUACCCCCUUCGGUGCCGCAGCUA
rnacentral:rRNA from 1 species